AGACUGAUUCCACUUUGGCUGGAUGGGAUCAGUGAAGCAAAGUGGGUGUGGACAUAUCACAUUCACAGACAGAGAAUAACUCAAAGGGCUGAUAAGGUUCAGGAUGCUGAAGGCAAUGACAUUCUGGGCAAAGUUGCAGAAACCGCUGAUGGCCAAGAGAAGGAUGGUCCAUGGCCAAUGAGCCAUUGAACUCUGUGGGAGAAACAGUCUGUGAGACACCAGCAACCUUAAAAGGAACAGAAGCAGAUAAACAUUUCAAUGAACAACUGCAGAGAAGCGUCAAAUACUUCAUCCCUCUGACUACACUUUAUUUCUCUUACCUUGGUUGUCUGCUUUUCCUUCAUGAUGAUUCUUGACAGGAGAACAACCCAAAUAGGCAUUGUUGCUUUAACUGGAAAGAGGAGGAAGGGCACAGAAUUAAAGUCGGAACGGAGGCCAGCAACAAGGCCUGUGAAAUAAAAGCUACUGAUAUAUUGCACGCA